rnacentral:rRNA from 1 species
CGCUGGCGGCGUGCUUAACACAUGCAAGUCGAACGCGAAAGGGAUUUCGGUCCUGAGUAGAGUGGCGCACGGGUGAGUAACGCGUAAGUUAUCUACCCCUCCAUCUGGAAUAACUCACCGAAAGGUGUGCUAAUACCGGAUACGUUGGAAACAAGAAAGGUGGCCUCUAUUUAUAUGCUACCGUGGAGGGAUGAGCUUGCGUACCAUUAGCUAGUUGGUAGGGUAAUGGCCUACCAAGGCAACGAUGGUUAGCGGGUCUGAGAGGAUGAUCCGCCACACUGGAACUGGAACACGGACCAGACUCCUACGGGAGGCAGCAGUGAGGAAUAUUGCGCAAUGGGGGAAACCCUGACGCAGCGACGCCGCGUGGAUGAUGAAGGCCCUUGGGUCGUAAAAUCCUGUCAGAUGGAAAGAAAUGCUAUUACGCUAAUAUCGUAAUAGUUUGACGGUACCAUCAAAGGAAGCACCGGCUAACUCCGUG